UACGUAGGGUGCAAGCGUUGUCCGGAAUUAUUGGGCGUAAAGAGCUCGUAGGCGGUCUGUCGCGUCGGAUGUGAAAACCCAGGGCUCAACCCUGGGCCUGCAUUCGAUACGGGCAGACUAGAGUUCGGUAGGGGAGACUGGAAUUCCUGGUGUAGCGGUGAAAUGCGCAGAUAUCAGGAGGAACACCGAUGGCGAAGGCAGGUCUCUGGGCCACUACUGACGCUGAGAAGCGAAAGCAUGGGGAGCGAACAGG
rnacentral:rRNA from 1 species